rnacentral:lncRNA from 1 species
AUAUUUUGUAAGUUCAUAGGUUUUCAAGAAUAGUUUAUGUUGAACAAAAGAGAUGAAUUAGGGAUUAAAUUGAAGGAAUUUUAAGUUAGAAUUGAAAAAGGGAUUAAAUUGUAAAAGAAACUAUAAGUUUUAUGUUUUAAGGACUAAAUUUAGAGAAAUUCGAAAUUAGCAAAAUAUGCUGAAAUUUUGAUAGUUAAAUUUUAGUUUGGAUGAAAUUUGAAUAGAAAUAGAGUGUG